rnacentral:rRNA from 1 species
UGGGGAAUAUUGGACAAUGGGCGCAAGCCUGAUCCAGCCAUGCCGCGUGAGUGAUGAAGGCCCUAGGGUUGUAAAGCUCUUUCACCGGUGAAGAUAAUGACAGUAACCGGAGAAGAAGCCCCGGCUAACUUCGUGCCAGCAGCCGCGGUAAUACGAAGGGGGCUAGCGUUGUUCGGAUUUACUGGGCGUAAAGCGCACGUAGGCGGACUAUUAAGUCAGGGGUGAAAUCCCGGGGCUCAACCCCGGAACUGCCUUUGAUACUGGUAGUCUUGAGUUCGGGAGAGGUGAGUGGAAUUCCGAGUGUAGAGGUGAAAUUCGUAGAUAUUCGGAGGGACACCAGUGGCGAAGGCGGCUCACUGGCUCGAUACUGACGCUGAGGUGCGAAAGCGUGGGGAGCAAACAGG